GAUGAACGCUAGCUACAGGCUUAACACAUGCAAGUCGAGGGGAAACGCCAUCGAAAGCUUGCUUUUGAUGGGCGUCGACCGGCGCACGGGUGAGUAACGCGUAUCCAACCUGCCCAUCACUUGGGAAUAACCUUGCGAAAGUAAGACUAAUACCCAAUGAUAUCCCACGAAGGCAUCGGAAUGGGAUUAAAGAUUUAUCGGUGAUGGAUGGGGAUGCGUCUGAUUAGCUUGUUGGCGGGGUAACGGCCCACCAAGGCAACGAUCAGUAGGGGUUCUGAGAGGAAGGUCCCCCACAUUGGAACUGAGACACGGUCCAAACUCCUACGGGACGCAGCAGUGAGGAAUAUUGGUCAAUGGGCGAGAGCCUGAACCAGCCAAGUAGCGUGCAGGAAGACGGCCCUAUGGGUUGUAAACUGCUUUUAUAAGGGAAUAAAGUGGGUCACGUGUGACUUUUUGCAUGUACCUUAUGAAUAAGGACCGGCUAAUUCCGUG
rnacentral:rRNA from 1 species